rnacentral:rRNA from 1 species
UGAGGAACAUGACCUUCGGCGGGGGAUAGCCGGCCCAACGGCCGGGUAAUACCGCGUACGACCACUUUGGGACAUCCCUAGGUGGUGAAAGCAGCAAUGCGCCGAUGGAGUGCCUCGCGGCCUAUCAGCUAGUUGGUGAGGUAACGGCUCACCAAGGCGACGACGGGUAGCUGGUCUGAGAGGAUGGCCAGCCACAUUGGGACUGAGACACGGCCCAGACUCCGUACGGGAGCAG